rnacentral:rRNA from 1 species
AUUGAACGCUGGCGGCAGGCUUAACACAUGCAAGUCGAGCGGAGCGGCGGACGGGUGAGUAAUGCCCAGGAAUCUGCCUGGUAGUGGGGGAUAAGGUCCGGAAACGGGCGCUAAUACUGCAUACUAUCAGAUGAGCCUAGGUCGGAUUAGCUAGUUGGUGGGGUAAGGGCCUAUCAAGGCGACGAUCCGUAACUGGUCUGAGAGGAUGAUCAGUCACACUGGGACUGGGACACGGUCCAGACUCCUACGGGAGGCAGCAGUGGGGAAUAUGGGACAAUGGGCGAAAGCCUGAUCCAGCCAUGCCGCGUGUGUGAAGAAGGUCUUCGGAUUGUAAAGCACUUUAAGUUGGGAGGCGUUACCGACAGAAUAAGCACCGGCUAACUUCGUGCCAGCAGCCGCGGUAAUAC